AAGGCGGGCUGUUCGACUUGUGGACGAUCCCAAACUACCCAGCUUGUUGGAAAGCCUGGAGCACCGCAGAGAUGGUAGCUCUAUUUGCGUGUUUUAUCGCCUUUAUAAUGAGGAGUGCUCUGAAGAGAUUUUUGACCUAUUCAACCCUCUUUA